AUUACUUUCGUACGCUUUGGGUAGCUAAUUUCCAAUACAUUGUUGUAUAUGUGUAUAGACUCUGUGCUACACGUUUUAGGGAUAGGAAGCUUGCUGGCAAGAGUCUAGUGUGUAACAUUAACUAUGAUAUGAAACUUCGAGUCAUUCAACUGCUUUCCAGUUACUGUAGUUACCCAGAAUGCUAUCGUUCAAUCAAUUAUUGUGGCUAUUUUGUAGCCUAGCUUUUAUUUUACUAUCACAAUGCACCUAUGCAAAAUACUUAAAAAGCUCAUGUAAUACCUGCAAACAGAUAGCUGAUAACUUCAGUAAGGGAUUGGACCGUACGAAAAAGCAGAACUUUGGUGGAGGAAACACCGCUUGGGAGGAGAGGGCACUUUCCAAAUAUGAGACGAGUGAGAUCCGCCUAGUUGAGAUUCUGGAGAAUCUGUGUGACAGCAGCAGCUUUGACUGUAACCACAUGGUAGAGGAGCACGAGGACCACUUUGAGACCUGGUGGUUCAAGAGGCAAAAUAAGCAUCCUGAUCUGUAUAAGUGGUUUUGCGUUGAUACCAUCAAGGUGUGCUGUUCGACGGGAACGUUUGGCCCUGAUUGUAAUGCCUGUGUGGCGGGUUCUGAGAGGCCUUGCCAUGGCAACGGCGUUUGUGACGGUGAUGGAACACGAGGGGGUAACGGCAGGUGCAACUGUGACCAUGGUUACAAGGGGGAGUUCUGUCUGGACUGCAUGGACGGAUACUUCAAUGAAAUUAGGAACGACACGUUUUCACUAUGCACAGAGUGCCACACCUCCUGCAAGACCUGCACUGGUCUAACCAAUGAGGACUGUGAGAAGUGCAAGACUGGCUGGGGGGAGGAUGAUGAGGGGACCUGUCUUGAUGUGAACGAGUGCUUGAACGACCCUCCUCUCUGCAAAGAGGAUCAGUACUGUCUGAACACGGAUGGCUCGUUCUCCUGUAAAGGCUGUGACGAGGUGUGUUCAGGCUGUACUGGGGCAGGGCCUGAUAAGUGCCAGAGCUGUGCUCCUGGGUACCAGGGCACAGAGGGCACCUGCACAGGUACGAGGAACAGGAGGGAGUCUGUGUCAAAAUACCAGAGCCAGGUUAAGUACACUGUAGUUACUACUACAGUAACCGUAUACGCUCUAUGAAAUACUGCAGACGCAGUUGUAUCAGAUGACUCUUGGUUGACACUGCAUUUGACAGCAGUGCGUGAUCAAGCAAAGGAGAAUGAGGCAGAAAUAGUGAAACGUCCAGAAGAGCACGAAGACCUUUGACCUCAGGAAAUGAACUAAUAGGAACAAACCAGGAAGAGCAUUUGGCGUAAAUUAUGAGGUGGGUGUCACCCGUGAGACUACACCCCUAUAGCUCACAGCAUCAGAAUAUAUUAAGACUACUCCCUUUAAAGCAUUGCGACUACAUGGCAGUUGAUCACUCGACAUGCAUACUGCACUCUUUACAGAUUUAUACCCGUCGAUCAUGGAUGGACAGCCAACAGAAUGGCUGAUAAAAUUAAAGAUUCAAUCCCCAAAUACUCUGGUUCUUGUUUUUGCUGUGGUUAACCCAAGUGUUGUCUGUUUUUUAAAUUUAUGCAGGAUUUUGAACGUUAUUCAAAUAAAGUUUGAGAACAGAAAUUA